rnacentral:rRNA from 1 species
GAUGAACGCUAGCGGCAGGCUUAAUACAUGCAAGUCGAGGGGCAGCACAGGUAGCAAUACUGGGUGGCGACCGGCAAACGGGUGCGGAACACGUACACAACUUACCUUAGAGUGGGGGAUAGCCCAGGGAAACUUGGAUUAAUACCACAUAAAACAGGGGGCCCGCAUGGGCAUAUUGUUAAAGAUUUAUCGCUUUAAGAUGGGUGUGCGUAUGAUUAGGUAGUUGGUAGGGUAAAGGCAUACCAAGCCGACGAUCAUUAACUGGUGUGAGGACACGACCAUUGAACCGGGCAUUGAGAAACGGGCCCGACUCCUACGGGAGGCAGCAGUAAGGAAUAUUGGUCAAUGUACGGAAGUCUGAGCCAGCCAUGCCGCGUGAAGGAUGAAGGUCCUCUGGAUUGUAAACUUCUUUUAUAGGGGGCGAAAAAGGGCCAUUCUUGGUCAACUGACGGUACCCUAUGAAUAAGCACCGGCUAACUCCGUGCCAGCCGCCGCAGUAAUAC